AACGAAUGCUGGCGGCAUGCCUAACACAUGCAAGUCGAACGAAGGCUUCGGCCUUAGUGGCGCACGGGUGCGUAACGCGUGGGAAUCUGCCCUUUGGUUCGGAAUAACAGCUGGAAACGGCUGCUAAUACCGGAUGAUGACGAAAGUCCAAAGAUUUAUCGCCAGAGGAUGGGCCCGCGUUGGAUUAGGUAGUUGGUGGGGUAAAGGCCUACCAAGCCGACGAUCCAUAGCUGGUCUGAGAGGAUGAUCAGCCACACUCGGACUGAGACACGGCCCAGCAUCCUACGGGAGGCAGCAGUGGAGAAUGUUGGAAAAUGGGCGCCAGCCUGAUCCAGCCAUGCCGCGUGAGUGAAGAAGGUCUUCGGAUUUUAAAGCUCUUUUGCCAGGGACGAUAAUGACGGUACCUGGAGAAUAAGCCCCGGCAAACUUCGUGCCAGCCGCCGCAGUAACAC
rnacentral:rRNA from 1 species